AGCAGCCGCGGUAAUUCCAGCUCCAAUAGCGUAUAUUAAAGUUGUUGCAGUUAAAAAGCUCGUAGUUGAAUUUCGGGAUCAAUUAGUCGGUCGUGCCUCUGGUACGUACUGGUUUUAUUGGUUCCUCCCUUCUGACGAAACAUGAUGUCAUUAAUUUGGUGUCGUGGAGAAUCAGGACUGUUACCUUGAAAAAAUUAGAGUGUUUAUAGCAGGCUAACGCUUGAAUACAUUAGCAUGGAAUAAUGAAAUAGGACGUUCGACCCUAUUUUGUUGGUUUCUAGGAUCGACGUAAUGAUUAAUAGGGAUAGUUAGGGGGCAUUAGUAUUCAAUUGUCAGAGGUGAAAUUCUUGGAUUUAUUGAAGACUAACUACUGCGAAAGCAUUUGCCAAGGAUGUUUUCAUUAAUCAAGAACGAAAGUUAGGGGAUCGAAGACGAUCAGAUACCGUCGUAGUCUUAACCAUAAACUAUGCCGACUAGGGAUCGGAUGAUGUUAAUUUUUAAUGACUCAUUCGGCGCCUUA
rnacentral:rRNA from 1 species